AUGCAGCCAUCGUGGAGGUAUGCUUUCAGGGUAGAGGAAGACGAGGAGAUGGCGAGCCCAGCAAAGAUGGUGGUGGAUGCAGCAGCCGCCGCGCACGUGGCGUACUCGACGGCCCUAGCGAGCGUGGCCUCACCGGAACCGGGCGUGGCCGCGGCGGGGGAGGAAGCACGAAGCGAGAAGCCGCGCAAAUUGAAGGCGAGGCUGGAGAACGUGCGGUCGAAGCUGCGGCGCGCGUGCAGCGCAGCCGCGAGGCGUGCGUCAUCACAAUGGCGCACCGCGGCCUGCCUCAAUGAGGAGCGGCUUCAGGGACUGGAGCACCUCGCAGAAGCAGACGUGCGCGUCAGCGAGGACAAUGAGGUCCUGAAGCAGCUGCCCCGUCCACGGCGAUGA
rnacentral:rRNA from 1 species